UUGGAUCGUUCUAUAUGGUCAGUCAUCCAAAUAGCUUCUAGCUUGUAUCCUCCUUGUAGUGUUGCUAAUAUAUUUGGCAACUGGUUGCAUGGUAUUGAUCACAAGUUUAGAAUUCUUCUUAGGGUGGGAGCGCUUCCUGUGAUUUGGUCGCUUUGGUUAUGUAGAAAUGAUAAGGUUUUUAACGAUAAAAGUACUUCUCUUAUGCAAGUUACCUACAGAUGUACCGAGAUGCUUCGUUUAUGGUCCUCUCUAUAG
rnacentral:rRNA from 1 species